rnacentral:rRNA from 1 species
AUUGAACGCUGGCGGCAGGCCUAACACAUGCAAGUCGAACGAGUGGCGGACGGGUGAGUAAUGUCUGGGAAACUGCCUGAUGGAGGGGGAUAACUACUGGAAAAGGUAGCUAAUACCGCAUACCAUCGGAUGUGCCCAGAUGGGAUUAGCUAGUGGGUGGGGUAACGGCUCACCUAGGCUACGAUCCCUAGCUGGUCUGAGAGGAUGACCAGACACACUGUAACUGAGACACGGUCCAGACUCCUCCGGGAGGCAGCAGUGGGGAAGAUUGCACAAUGGGCGCAAGCCUGAUGCAGCCAUGCCGCGUGGAGGAAGAAGGCCUUCGGGUGUUAAAGUACUUUCAGCGGGGAGGCGUUACCCGCAGAAGAAGCACCGGCGAACUCCGUGCCAGCAGCCGCGGUAAUUC